UAUAACAUAGCAUUAAUGAAGUGUAUCCCAAUAGAACUCUGUAGUUAAGCACACUCAGGAUAGAGUAGUAUUGGGAUGGGUGAUUUCCUAGGAAGUCCUAGUGUUUUAC
rnacentral:rRNA from 1 species